GUUGUAUGGUUAAGUGACUAAGCGUACACGGUGGAUGCCUUGGCAGUCAGAGGCGAUGAAAGACGUAGUAACUUGCGAUAAGCCCAGAUUAGGUAGUAACAACCAUUUGAGUCUGGGAUUUCUGAAUGGGGAAACCCACGUGCAUAAGCACGUAUCCUUACCUGAAUACAUAGGGUAAGGAGGCGAACCGGGGGAACUGAAACAUCUAAGUACCCCGAGGAAAAGAAAUCAACCGAGAUUCCGAAAGUAGCGGCGAGCGAAAUUGGACUAGCCCUUAAGCUUUACACGCGUUAGACGAACGGUCUGGAAAGUCCGACGAUACAGGGUGAUAGUCCCGUAGUUGACGACGUGUGUUCAGUGAAAUCGAGUAGGGCGGGACACGUGAUAUCCUGUCUGAAUAUGGGGGGACCAUCCUCCAAGGCUAAAUACUACUGACUGACCGAUAGUGAACCAGUACCGUGAGGGAAAGGCGAAAAGAACCCCUGUGAGGGGAGUGAAAUAGAACCUGAAACCGUGUACGUACAAGCAGUAGGAGCAGGCUUGUCCUGUGACUGCGUACCUUUUGUAUAAUGGGUCAGCGACUUAUAUUCAGUGGCAAGGUUAACCAUCUAGGGGAGCCGUAGGGAAACCGAGUCUUAACUGGGCGUUCAGUCUCUGGAUAUAGACCCGAAACCAGGUGAUCUAGCCAUGGGCAGGUUGAAGGUUGAGUAACAUCAACUGGAGGACCGAACCGACUAAUGUUGAAAAAUUAGCGGAUGACUUGUGGCUAGGGGUGAAAGGCCAAUCAAACCUGGAGAUAGCUGGUUCUCCCCGAAAGCUAUUUAGGUAGCGCCUCGGACGAAUACUACUGGGGGUAGAGCACUGUUAAGGCUAGGGGGUCAUCCCGACUUACCAACCCUUUGCAAACUCCGAAUACCAGUAAGUACUAUCCGGGAGACACACGGCGGGUGCUAACGUCCGUCGUGGAGAGGGAAACAACCCAGACCGCCAGCUAAGGUCCCAAAUUACUACUAAGUGGGAAACGAUGUGGGAAGGCUCAGACAGCCAGGAUGUUGGCUUAGAAGCAGCCAUCAUUUAAAGAAAGCGUAAUAGCUCACUGGUCGAGUCGGCCUGCGCGGAAGAUGUAACGGGGCUAAGUAGUAAACCGAAGCUGCGGCAAUAUACUUUUGUAUAUUGGGUAGGGGAGCGUUCUGUAAGCGGUUGAAGGUGUGUGGUAACGCAUGCUGGACGUAUCAGAAGUGCGAAUGCUGACAUGAGUAACGAUAAAGGGGGUGAAAAACCUCCUCGCCGGAAGACCAAGGGUUCCUGUCCAACGUUAAUCGGGGCAGGGUAAGUCGACCCCUAAGGCGAGGCCGAAAGGCGUAGUCGAUGGGAAACGGGUUAAUAUUCCCGUACUUCUUACAAUUGCGAUGGGGGGACGGAGAAGGCUAGGUGGGCCUGGCGACGGUUGUCCAGGUUCAAGUGCGUAGGCUUAAGAGUUAGGUAAAUCCGGCUCUUUUUAAGGCUGAGACACGACGUCGAGCACCUACGGGUGUGAAGUCAUUGAUGCCAUGCUUCCAGGAAAAGCCUCUAAGCUUCAGAUUGUAAGGAAUCGUACCCCAAACCGACACAGGUGGUCGGGUAGAGAAUACCAAGGCGCUUGAGAGAACUCGGGUGAAGGAACUAGGCAAAAUGGUACCGUAACUUCGGGAGAAGGUACGCUCUCGACGGUGAAGUCCCUUGCGGAUGGAGCUAUUGAGAGUCGCAGAUACCAGGUGGCUGCAACUGUUUAUUAAAAACACAGCACUGUGCAAAAUCGUAAGAUGACGUAUACGGUGUGACGCCUGCCCGGUGCCGGAAGGUUAAUUGAUGGGGUUAGACUUCGGUCGAAGCUCUUGAUCGAAGCCCCGGUAAACGGCGGCCGUAACUAUAACGGUCCUAAGGUAGCGAAAUUCCUUGUCGGGUAAGUUCCGACCUGCACGAAUGGCGUAAUGAUGGCCACGCUGUCUCCACCCGAGACUCAGUGAAAUUGAAAUCGCUGUGAAGAUGCAGUGUACCCGCGGCUAGACGGAAAGACCCCGUGAACCUUUACUACAGCUUGGCACUGAACAUUGACCCUACAUGUGUAGGAUAGGUGGGAGGCUUUGAAGCACGUACGCCAGUAUGUGUGGAGCCGUCCUUGAAAUACCACCCUUGUAGUGUUGAUGUUCUAACGUCGACCCCUUAUCGGGGUUGCGGACAGUGCCUGGUGGGUAGUUUGACUGGGGCGGUCUCCUCCCAAAGAGUAACGGAGGAGCACGAAGGUGGGCUAAUCACGGUUGGACAUCGUGAGGUUAGUGCAAUGGCAUAAGCCCGCUUGACUGCGAGAAUGACAAUUCGAGCAGGUGCGAAAGCAGGUCAUAGUGAUCCGGUGGUUCUGAAUGGAAGGGCCAUCGCUCAACGGAUAAAAGGUACUCCGGGGAUAACAGGCUGAUACCGCCCAAGAGUUCAUAUCGACGGCGGUGUUUGGCACCUCGAUGUCGGCUCAUCACAUCCUGGGGCUGAAGUCGGUCCCAAGGGUAUGGCUGUUCGCCAUUUAAAGUGGUACGCGAGCUGGGUUUAGAACGUCGUGAGACAGUUCGGUCCCUAUCUGCCGUGGGCGUUGGAAGAUUGAAGGGGGCUGCUCCUAGUACGAGAGGACCGGAGUGGACGAACCUCUGGUGUUCGGGUUGUGUCGCCAGACGCAUUGCCCGGUAGCUAAGUUCGGAAUCGAUAACCGCUGAAAGCAUCUAAGCGGGAAGCGAGCCCUGAGAUGAGUCUUCCCUGAUACUUUAAGUAUCCUAAAGGGUUGUCGGAGACUACGACGUUGAUAGGUCAGGUGUGUAAGUGCUGUGAGGCAUUGAGCUAACUGAUACUAAUUGCCCGUGAGGCUUAACCAUACAACACCCAAGGGGUUU
rnacentral:rRNA from 1 species